rnacentral:rRNA from 1 species
UACGUAGGAUGCAAGCGUUGUCCGGAUUUACUGGGCGUAAAGGGCGCGUAGGCGGCAAUUCAAGUCAUCUGUGAAAUCUCCGGGCUUAACCCGGAACGGUCAGAUGAUACUGCUUUGCUAGAGUGCGGAAGGGGCAAUCGGAAUUCUUGGUGUAGCGGUGAAAUGCGUAGAUAUCAAGAGGAACACCUGAGGUGAAGACGGGUUGCUGGGCCGACACUGACGCUGACAGCGCGAAAGCCAGGGGAGCAAACGGG